rnacentral:rRNA from 1 species
GAUGAACGCUAGCUACAGGCUUAACACAUGCAAGUCGAGGGGAAACGACAUCGAAAGCUUGCUUUUGGUGGGCGUCGACCGGCGCACGGGUGAGUAACGCGUAUCCAACCUGCCCACCACUUGGGGAUAACCUUGCGAAAGUAAGACUAAUACCCAAUGAUAUCCCACGAAGGCAUCCGAAUGGGAUUAAAGAUUUAUCGGUGAUGGAUGGGGAUGCGUCUGAUUAGCUUGUUGGCGGGGUAACGGCCCACCAAGGCGACGAUCGGUAGCCGGACUGAGAGGUUGAACGGCCACAUUGGGACUGAGACACGGCCCAGACUCCUACGGGAGGCAGCAGUGGGGAAUAUUGCACAAUGGGGGAAACCCUGAUGCAGCGACGCCGCGUGGAGGAAGAAGGUCUUCGGAUUGUAAACUCCUGUUGUUGAGGAAGAUAAUGACGGUACUCAACAAGGAAGUGACGGCUAACUACGUG